rnacentral:rRNA from 1 species
AUUGAACGCUGGCGGCAGGCCUAACACAUGCAAGUCGAGAGAGCGGCGGACGGGUGAGUAAUGUCUGGGAAACUGCCUGAUGGAGGGGGAUAACUACUGGAAACGGUAGCGAAUACCGCAUACCAUCAGAUGUGCCCAGGGGGGAUUAGCUAGUCGGUGGGGUAACGGCUCACCUAGGCGACGAGCCCUAGCUGGUCUGAGAGGAUGACCAGCCACACUGGCACUGAGAACCGGUCCAGACUCCUACGGGAGGCAGCAGUGGGGAAUAUUGCACAAUGGGCGCAAGCCUGAUGCAGCCAUGCCGCGUGUUUGAAGAAGGCCUUCGGGUUGUAAAGCACUUUCAGCGGGGAGGCGUUACCCGCAGAAGAAGCACCGGCUAACUCCGUGCCAGCAGCCGCGGUAAUAC